rnacentral:rRNA from 1 species
AUUGAACGCUGGCGGAAUGCUUUACACAUGCAAGUCGAGCGGCAGCGCGGCCUUCGGGCUGGCGGCGAGCGGCGAACGGGUGAGUAAUGCAUCGGAACAUGCCCAGUCGUGGGGGAUAACACUUCGAAAGAAGUGCUAAUACCGCAUACGUCCUGAGGGGGGAAAGCGGGGGAUCGCAAGACCUCGCGCGAUUGGAUUGGCCGAUGUCAGAUUAGCUAGUUGGUGGGGUAAAGGCCUACCAAGGCGACGAUCUGUAGCUGGUCUGAGAGGAUGAUCAGCCACACUGGGACUGAGACACGGCCCAGACUCCUACGGGAGGCAGCAGUGGGGAAUUUUGGACAAAGGGGGCAACCCUGAUCCAGCCAUUCCGCGUGAGUGAAGAAGGCCUUCGGGUUGUAAAGCUCUUUCGGCAGGAACGAAACGGUGGGCUCUAACAUAGUCCGCUAAUGACGGUACCUGAAGAAGAAGCACCGGCUAACUACGUG